rnacentral:rRNA from 1 species
AAACCCAGUGUGUUUCGACACACUAUCAUUAACUGAAUCCAUAGGUUAAUGAGGCGAACCGGGGGAACUGAAACAUCUAAGUACCCCGAGGAAAAGAAAUCAACCGAGAUUCCCCCAGUAGCGGCGAGCGAACGGGGAGCAGCCCAGAGCCUGAAUCAGUAUGUGUGUUAGUGGAAGCGUCUGGAAAGGCGCGCGAUACAGGGUGACAGCCCCGUACACAAAAAUGCACAUGCUGUGAGCUCGAUGAGUAGGGCGGGACACGUGGUAUCCUGUCUGAAUAUGGGGGGACCAUCCUCCAAGGCUAAAUACUCCUGACUGACCGAUAGUGAACCAGUACCGUGAGGGAAAGGCGAAAAGAACCCCGGCGAGGGGAGUGAAAAAGAACCUGAAACCGUGUACGUACAAGCAGUGGGAGCACGCUUAGGCGUGUGACUGCGUACCUUUUGUAUAAUGGGUCAGCGACUUAUAUUCUGUAGCAAGGUUAACCGAAUAGGGGAGCCGAAGGGAAACCGAGUCUUAACUGGGCGUUAAGUUGCAGGGUAUAGACCCGAAACCCGGUGAUCUAGCCAUGGGCAGGUUGAAGGUUGGGUAACACUAACUGGAGGACCGAACCGACUAAUGUUGAAAAAUUAGCGGAUGACUUGUGGCUGGGGGUGAAAGGCCAAUCAAACCGGGAGAUAGCUGGUUCUCCCCGAAAGCUAUUUAGGUAGCGCCUCGUGAAUUCAUCUCCGGGGGUAGAGCACUGUUUCGGCAAGGGGGUCAUCCCGACUUACCAACCCGAUGCAAACUGCGAAUACCGGAGAAUGUUAUCACGGGAGACACACGGCGGGUGCUAACGUCCGUCGUGAAGAGGGAAACAACCCAGACCGCCAGCUAAGGUCCCAAAGUCAUGGUUAAGUGGGAAACGAUGUGGGAAGGCCCAGACAGCCAGGAUGUUGGCUUAGAAGCAGCCAUCAUUUAAAGAAAGCGUAAUAGCUCACUGGUCGAGUCGGCCUGCGCGGAAGAUGUAACGGGGCUAAACCAUG